GGGGUAGCCUAGAGAAAGCAAAGAAUGCAUGGCAUCGCAUCCUUUUCUGGCAUCCCGAGCAGUGCAUUAAUACCUUGAGUUGUGUGAACCAGCAAGAUCCAGUUCUUUCUGAAUUACUUCCAUGGUCCCCUUCUCUCAAUGGCCUCUCCAAACCUUUUGGAAACUUGGGAGACAGGAGGUGAGUCCUUUUUACAAGGAAAUUGGAUUUGUUACUAUACAACUCGCACAAAGCAGUGACAAGACCAAGGACAUAUCAUAUCAAAAUGGCUGAUUUCCCACAUCCCCUCAUAUUUUAGCCAUAAACCACCAUGGGC